CCUACGGGUGGCAGCAGUGAGGAAUAUUGGUCAAUGGGCGCGAGCCUGAACCAGCCAAGUCGCGUGAGGGAAGACGGCCCUACGGGUUGUAAACCUCUUUUGCCGGGGAGCAACGGGCGCCACGUGUGGCGCCACUGAGAGUACCCGGAGAAAAAGCAUCGGCAAACUCCGUGCCAGCAGCCGCGGUAGUAGGGAGGAGGCGAGCGUUAUCCGGAUUUAUUGGGGUUAAAGGGUGCGUAGGCGGAGCGUUAAGGCAGUGGUAAAAUUGAGGGGCUCAACCCCUUCCCGCCAUUGAAACUGGCGCUCUUGAGUGGAAGAGAAGUAUGCGGAAUGCGUGGUGUAGCGGUGAAAUGCAUAGAUAUCACGCAGAACCCCGAUGGCGAAGGCAGCAUGCCGGCUUCCGACUGACGCUGAAGCACGAAAGCGUGGGGAUCGAACAGGAUUAGAUACCCUAGUAGUC
rnacentral:rRNA from 1 species